AUGGAUGAUAAGAGUUUGUUGGCUGCUUGUGUUAAUCUUGAGGAUGCACUUAAGAGUGGAGAACACAAAGACAUUGAUGGAGCUGAAUUGUUUUACGAGUUAAUUUUCAUCCAGGAUUUAGUUAAGAAAUUUAUGGGCCCCGUUGAUAUUCUUGAGAUUCUGAUGAAGCGCCCCUUCUAUCCUAAUGCUAUUAUUGCGUACAGGAUUUUGUUAACCAUUCCUGUAACCGUUGCAACUGCGGAAAGGAGCUUCUCUAAUCUCAAGUUGUUGAAAUCAUAUUUGCGUUCAACUAUGACACAAGAAAGACUCAAUGGUUUGGCGACAAUAGCGCUGGAAAAUGAUGUCUUGGAGAAGAUUAAUUAUGAAGAUGUAAUUGUAGAUUUCAUUUCCAGGAACACAAGACGGAUGGCACUUUUCAAUAGAGAAUGA
rnacentral:rRNA from 1 species